UUAGAUAUAAGGCUUUCGCUUCGGGGACAGCGGUAACAGGUGGUGCAUGGUUGUCGUCAGUUCGUGUCGUGAGAUGUUGGGUUAGGUCCCGCAACGAGCGCAACCCUUGAUUUUAGUUGCCAGCAUUCAGUUGGGCAUUUUAAGGUGACUGCCGGUGUCAAACCGGAGGAAGGUGGGGAGGACGUCAAAUCAUGAUGCCCCUUAUGACUUAGG
rnacentral:rRNA from 1 species